AUUUUCUGGAUAGAGAUGCUAGUAGACGGAUGAUUUAUAAUCUGGUAUUUAGUCAGGGUACUCGAGAGACUAUUACUUUGCCUGCUCCUUCUUUGUUCGAUCUUCAUGCAGGCAGGUACACUAUUAUGCCCUCGGACAUCUACGCAUAUUGGGGCUUGGCCCAACCACAGGUGCCCGUGCCUGAGCCGCCAGUCGAGUACCAGACGCCAGUUUAUCAGUGGGAGCCAGAGGAGCUCACACAGCAAUGGCAUCC
rnacentral:lncRNA from 1 species